UACGAAGGGGGCUAGCGUUGUUCGGAAUCACUGGGCGUAAAGGGCGCGUAGGCGGACUCUUAAGUCGGUGGUGAAAUCCUGGAGCUCAACUCCAGAACUGCCUUCGAUACUGAGAGUCUCGAGUCCGGGAGAGGUGAGUGGAACUGCGAGUGUAGAGGUGAAAUUCGUAGAUAAUUCGGAAGAACACCAGUGGCGAAGGCGGCUCACUGGACUGGUAUUGACGCUGAGGUGCGAAAGCGUGGGAGCAAACAGG
rnacentral:rRNA from 1 species